rnacentral:misc_RNA from 1 species
AACGCACCUUGCGCUCCUUGGUAUUCCUUGGAGCAUGCCUGUUUGAGUAUCAUGAAAUUAUCAAGACGAAUCUUUCGUUAGCUCGAUCGAUUCUGUUUUGGACUUGGGGGUCUGCAGAUUCACGUCUGCUCCUCUUAAAAGCAUUAGCUGGAUCUCAGUAGACUCGGUUCCACUCGGCGUGAUAAGUAUCACUCGCUGAGGACACUGUAACAGGUGGCCGGGACCGCGGAUGAACCGCUUCCAAUCGUCCGUUGACUCGGACAAAACACUUUAUGAUCUGAUCUCAAAUCAGGUAGGACUACCCGCUGAACUUAA